GAGUUACUGUGAUGUUGGCCCGGUUCACUCAGAGAAGAAAACGACACAUCAACCAAGAAAAGGAAAAUAUAUAUAUAUAUAUAUAUAUAUAUAUAUAUAUUUGUUGUGGUUUGUUUGCUUUUUGAUUGAGCCGUGCCAAUAUCUUAGUUGAUCUC
rfam:Morus notabilis contig15065, whole genome shotgun sequence.